rnacentral:rRNA from 1 species
UACAGAGGUCUCAAGCGUUGUUCGGAUUCAUUGGGCGUAAAGGGUGCGUAGGCGGCGCGGUAAGUCGGGUGUGAAAUCUCGGAGCUUAACUCCGAAACUGCAUUCGAUACUGCCGUGCUUGAGGACUUGGAGAGGAGACUGGAAAUUUACGGUGUAGCGGUGAAAUGCGUAGAUAUCGAUAAGGAAGACCAGUGGCGAAGGCGGGUCUCUGGACAGUUCCAUGACGCUGAGGCAACGAAGGCCAGGGGACGCAAACGGG